UGGGGGAUAUUGCACAAUGGGCGAAAGCCUGAUGCAGCGACGCCGCGUGGGGGAUGAAGGCCUUCGGGUUGUAAACUUCUUUUGCUCUGAACAAGGCAUGCUAAUGGGUGUGUUGAGUGUAGGGGUUGAUUAGCGCCGGCUAACUACGUUCCAGCAGCCGCGGUAAUACGUAGGGCGCGAGCGUUGUCCGGAAUUAUUGGGCGUAAAGGGCUUGUAGGUGGCUGGUUGCGUCUGUCGUGAAAGCUCAUGGCUUAACUGUGGGUUUGCGGUGGGUACGGGCUGGCUUGAGUGCAGUAGGGGAGGCUGGAAUUCCUGGUGUAGCGGUGGAAUGCGCAGAUAUCAGGAGGAAUACCGGUGGCGAAGGCGGGUCUCUGGGCUGUUACUGACACUGAGGAGCGAAAGCAUGGGGAGCGAACAGG
rnacentral:rRNA from 1 species